UCUUAGGGAUGAGCAAAGAAAGUGGUUUCUUGACGUGGAAUCUUCUCUUGUUGAAGAUGCUGUGAA
rnacentral:pre_miRNA from 1 species